GGCAAUUCUUUCUCCCUGCAUUUAAAUUUGACCGAGACAUCAGGAACUCCAUCCAAGUCUGUUAUGGAGACUGUGGCAGUGGACCAGCUUAAGUCAAUAAAGGUCAUUGAAACUCUCUCAAUGACUGAAGGUGGACACAUGGGUCCAACAGUUCCUUUAAUUUCCCCUCACUCUCGGAGACCACAGCACAGCUGACUCCAGAGCCUGUCCAGACAACACUCACCAAAGAGGAUCAGAUUGUUACUUUGCUACCUGAAGAUGAGUCAGAUGUUCAAGACAAGUCCUCCAGGUCUACACUACAGAAAGCAGAACAGGAGAGUGUGAAGGCUCCCCAGGAUCAGCAGUGCUCAAGAUUGAAGGAGAAAAUGGGAGGACAUGUUCCUGACUCCAGUGCUUGUGUUAUUUCAAUCAAAGUCCCUCCUGCAGAGGCGAUUUCCCAUUCCAAUUCAGCCGAGGUAGAAGACCAAUACUAAAUCUCGAGAAUCACAUUCUCAAACCAACACUUUCCACAGAACAGAGACCUCAGUCACGUGCUCCCCACCUCUUCAUGUCUGCCAUCUUCAUACGAAUUCUAUGCUAAAAUCCCCGGCUCCACCGAUGUACCAAUCCAUGCCUCCAAUCAGAAGUCCAUCUUCAUGAGGCUAAAUAACCGGAUUGAAGUCCUGAAGGUGAAGAUGUCACUCAGCGGUUGUUACCUGGAACAGCUCAAUCAAAGAUAUCGAAUGCAGAUGGAGGAGAUGCAGAGGGCUUUCUAUAAAGCCAUCAUCAAACUCCAGAGCACCUUGUGGAACAUUGAAGAGCAG